UGGGGAAUAUUGCACAAUGGGCGCCAGCCUGAUGCAGCCAUGCCGCGUGUGUGAAGAAGGCCUUCGGGUUGUAAAGCACUUUCAGCGGGGAGGAAGGCGAUAAGGUUAAUAACCUUGUCGAUUGACGUUACCCGCAGAAGAAGCACCGGCUAACUCCGUGCCAGCAGCCGCGGUAACACGGAGGGUGCAAGCGUUAAUCGGAAUUACUGGGCGUAAAGCGCACGCAGGCGGUCUGUCAAGUCGGAUGUGAAAUCCCCGGGCUCAACCUGGGAACUGCAUUCGAAACUGGCAGGCUAGAGUCUUGUAGAGGGGGGUAGAAUUCCAGGUGUAGCGGUGAAAUGCGUAGAGAUCUGGAGGAAUACCGGUGGCGAAGGCGGCCCCCUGGACAAAGACUGACGCUCAGGUGCGAAAGCGUGGGGAGCAAACAGG
rnacentral:rRNA from 1 species